rnacentral:tRNA from 1 species
CAGGGAGACAAUUAAUUGAUUGUGAUGUCUAGGUAAAUUAUUCUUAGGCCACAAUCCUGUCACCUUAGGUCGAUCGGUACCUCAGAUUUUUGAAUUAAUUUUAUAAUUAAUCCUUUAAUUUCAGUUCCUAAACUUGUCUAGGUCACACCCAACAAGGGUUUCUCCUGGGCCAUUAGCUCAGGUGGUUAGAGCGCACCCCUGAUAAGGGUGAGGUCCCUGGUUCAAGUCCAGGAUGGCCCAUUCGUUGUUGGGGGUAUAGCUCAGUUGGUAGAGCGCCUGCUUUGCAAGCAGGAUGUCAGCGGUUCGAGUCCGCUUACCUCCACUGAAACUACCCUGAUAAAUGAAUUUCAGGAGAAAAUUUGUAAUGUGACUUAGUGUUGUUUAUUGAAAAAGAACCUAGCUUCUUAUCAUCUUUUUUAGUUGAUAAUAUGCUGGGCUCACAUGGAUUCUUCCAUGCGAUUUCAGUAGAACCUUGAAAACUGCAUAGAUAGAAAGAAUAAAGCAUCUCAUGGAUGCAUAAUUCUGUUUUUUAUUUUGGUUUAAAAGCCAGAGUAAUAUUUUCAGAAUUCAUGUUUAAUUCUUGAGUAAUAGCCGAGCACAAUUAAUUGAUUUUGUGUUUGUAUUUAA